rnacentral:rRNA from 1 species
GACGAACGCUGGCGGCGUGCUUAACACCUGCAAGUCGAACGAAGUGGCGAACGGGUGAGUAACGCGUAAUCAACCUGCCCUUCAGAGGGGGACAACAGUUGGCCACGACUGCUAAUACCGCAUACUGAUGUAGGGGAUUUCGUCUGAUUAGCUAGUUGGAGGGGUAACGGCCCACCACGGCGAUGAUCAGUAGCCGGUCUGAGAGGAUGAACGGCCACAUUGGGACUGCGACACGGCCCAGACUCCUACGGGAGGCAGCAGUGGGGAAUCUUCCGAAAUGGAAGAAAGUCUGAAGGAGCAACGCCGCGUGAGUGAUGACGGCCUUCGGGUUGUAAAGCUCUGUUAAUCGGGACGUGGUACCGGAAUAGAAAGCCACGGCUAACUACGUGCCAGCAGCCGCGGUAAUUC